UACAGAGGUGGCAAGCGUUGUUCGGAAUUACUGGGCGUAAAGGGCGCGUAGGCGGUCUUGUAAGUCUUGUGUGAAAUCCCUCGGCUUAACUGAGGAACUGCACGAGAUACUGCGAGACUUGAGUUCGGGAGAGGAAAGCGGAAUUCCGGGUGUAGCGGUGAAAUGCGUAGAUAUCAGGAGGAACACCGGUGGCGAAGGCGGGACUCUGGGCCGAUACUGACGCUGAGGAGCGAAAGCGUGGGGAGCAAACAGG
rnacentral:rRNA from 1 species